rnacentral:rRNA from 1 species
UACGUAGGGUGCAAGCGUUAAUCGGAAUUACUGGGCGUAAAGCGUGCGCAGGCGGCUUUGCAAGACAGAUGUGAAAUCCCCGGGCUUAACCUGGGAACUGCAUUUGUGACUGCAUGGCUGGAGUGCGGCAGAGGGGAUGGAAUUCCGCGUGUAGCAGUGAAAUGCGUAGAUAUGCGGAGGAACACCGAUGGCGAAGGCAAUCCCCUGGACCUGUACUGACGCUCAUGCACGAAAGCGUGGGAGCAAACAGG